GACGAACGCUUUCGGCGUGCUUAACACAUGCAAGUCGAACGGAAAGGCCCUGCUUUUGUGGGGUGCUCGAGUGGCGAACGGGUGAGUAACACGUGAGUAACCUGCCCUUGACUUUGGGAUAACUUCAGGAAACUGGGGCUAAUACCGGAUAGGAGCUCCUGCUGCAUGGUGGGGGUUGGAAAGUUUCGGCGGUUGGGGAUGGACUCGCGGCUUAUCAGCUUGUUGGUGGGGUAGUGGCUUACCAAGGCUUUGACGGGUAGCCGGCCUGAGAGGGUGACCGGCCACAUUGGGACUGAGAUACGGCCCAGACUCCUACGGGAGGCAGCAGUGGGGAAUAUUGCACAAUGGGCGGAAGCCUGAUGCAGCAACGCCGCGUGCGGGAUGACGGCCUUCGGGUUGUAAACCGCUUUCGCCUGUGACGAAGCGUGAGUGACGGUAAUGGGUAAAGAAGCACCGGCUAACUACGUGCCAGCAGCCGCGGUGAUACGUAGGGUGCGAGCGUUGUCCGGAUUUAUUGGGCGUAAAGGGCUCGUGGGUGGUUGAUCGCGUCGGAAGUGUAAUCUUGGGGCUUAACCCUGAGCGUGCUUUCGAUACGGGUUGACUUGAGGAAGGUAGGGGAGAAUGGAAUUCCUGGUGGAGCGGUGGAAUGCGCAGAUAUCAGGAGGAACACCAGUGGCGAAGGCGGUUCUCUGGGCCUUUCCUGACGCUGAGGAGCGAAAGCGUGGGGAGCGAACAGGCUUAGAUACCCUGGUAGUCCACGCUGUAAACGGUGGGUACUAGGUGUGGGGUCCAUUCCACGGGUUCCGUGCCGUAGCUAACGCUUUAAGUACCCCGCCUGGGGAGUACGGCCGCAAGGCUAAAACUCAAAGGAAUUGACGGGGCCCCGCACAAGCGGCGGAGCAUGCGGAUUAAUUCGAUGCAACGCGUAGAACCUUACCUGGGUUUGACAUGGAUCGGGAGUGCUCAGAGAUGGGUGUGCCUCUUUUGGGGUCGGUUCACAGGUGGUGCAUGCCUGUCGUCAGCUCGUGUCGUGAGAUGUUGGGUUAAGUCCCGCAACGAGCGCAACCCUUGUUCACUGUUGCCAGCACGUUAUGGUGGGGACUCAGUGGAGACCGCCGGGGUCAACUCGGAGGAAGGUGGGGAUGACGUCAAGUCAUCAUGCCCCUUAUGUCCAGGGCUUCACGCAUGCUACAAUGGCUGGUACAGAGAGUGGCGAGCCUGUGAGGGUGAGCGAAUCUCGGAAAGCCGGUCUCAGUUCGGAUUGGGGUCUGCAACUCGACCUCAUGAAGUCGGAGUCGCUAGUAAUCGCAGAUCAGCAACGCUGCGGUGAAUACGUUCCCGGGGCU
rnacentral:rRNA from 1 species